rnacentral:lncRNA from 1 species
GAGGCUUCCCUUGAGGGCCCUGGGUUGGUGGUUGCAUGUCGGGGUGCUGGUCUCUGUGCUUCACUCACCUGCUGCCUUAAAUUAAGGGAUGCGGGGAGCUGGAGCUGCAGGCUGAAUGGAAGCAGCCCAAAUGAAAGUCAGACUUAAAGAAUUAUAAGGAUACUUAAAAGCUCUGUAUAUUGGAGAGGAACCUUUUUUACAUGUGGGGUAGGGAUAUUUAUUGUAAAUAGGCUAGACUGCAUCACUAGUUCCUUUUCCAAUAUACCAUUUCUUCAACUGAAGUGUUUUAAACUUUCUCCAGCACUUCCAGUAUAAUUCUGCUUGACCUUUCUUCAGAUUCUUAAAGACAAUUACAAUUAAUAAUUUUCUUACACAUAGAUCAGUACUUUGCACUAAUAUAAAGCCCAGAUUAAUCAUUAACUGCUUGAUUAAUCACUUCCAGUUUCCCUGUAAAGUAGAUUAAAAUUAUGCCGUGUGUUUUGCAGAAGCUACCUGAUUUUCUUUUAUUUUCCAGGAUAUUGUUUACAGAUAUUUAAGUCAAUGUGUAGGCUUUUGCCUUUAUUUAAAGCUUCUAGGGAACAUGCAGAAACAUUUUCUGUUUCAGCAUGACAGUGGAAUCACCCCGCCAGAUCCGUACAUUAUGAAAACAGAAAAAAAAAAAAAAAAGAAACAAGGCAGAGAGAUACGCAGCAACAUUUUCCAUGCUUUUUAAAAUCAGUCACUGAAAUUUCGGAAAAAAAAACUGCAAUAUUUUGCUUCCCAUUCUGUUUCAUGCAAAGCAAAUGCAGCUGAAGACAUUAGUGUCCCCCCUAACGCUUUGCAACCACUGCUACAGCAGUCUGCUGACACAAAGGUCUCCCCAGCCUUUGCCUGGGUGAAGGCUGGCGACCAGUAGUCCAUGCAAAAGGUCGGAGGAUCCAAAGAGAAGCACACAGUGUGCCAUGGCCAGCUACAGAGCUCAGGAACGCUUAGCUUCCCAUCUCGUGCUUCUUUUUCUCAUAGACGUUGCUAUCUCAGGGAAAUUCCCCAGCUUUCCUUCUCCUCCCACAUUAAAUACAUCACUGUCAGUGACUCAAGUCAUGCUCUAGUAGAUUCAGGCUUUACACACUCAACUGCCCGCUGGCCUGUCAUUGAGCACCUACCAGCUGUUUGGCCGGGUCUGCCUAACAGCCAGGCUUUGCUCUCUGCAGCUCUUCCUCUUUCUUCCUUUACCCCAUUGGGCUUCCUCCAUUUUUCACUUUGUGGCCAGAAUCUGGGCUCGUUACUCUCUAGAAAGGGCAGCUCAGCACCCACCACCUUGGCAGGGCUUUUCCCACUGCCCAGAGGCCCCAGCUUUUCUCUUUGCACCAUUGUAAAAUAUGGUAAAAUCACAAGUCCAGGGAAAGUUUAUUUCUCUGGGAAACCCUAA